rnacentral:lncRNA from 1 species
CAGGAGCUCAUAUUACCGUCUCUCUUCUAAGACUUGGGGACCCCCAAUUAAACUCUUAGGUGACAGGUUCAAAAUAAACAGAAGGAAGGGGUUCUUCAGACACAGUGCUGUUAAGUGGUGGAACUCCUUACUGCAGGAUCUGAUGGAUACUACGAGCUUGCAUAGGUUCUAAACGCAAAGAGAUAAAUUCAUGGGGGAAAAAAAAAAAAAAACUUUUGAGGUCUAUUAAGCACAAAGUUCCUCUUGCUUCAAAGUUUCUCAGCUGCAAAUUUUUUAUUCAUUGGGAAAACGUGUUAUGUGCGUGCUAGUCUGGUUCAGGCUGCCCAGGGAGUGGUGGGGUCACCAUCCCUGGAGGUGUUCCAGAACCAUGGAGGUGUGGCACUGAAGGACAUGGGCAGUGAGGAUGGUGGGGAUGGGAUGAGGUUGGACAUGGGCAUCUUGGAGAUCUUUUCCAACCUUAAUGACUGUUAUUCAUAAGCUCAUCCUCAGCCAUUUGCUUUCUUCAGCUAAUGGGGGAAGAGAAUGCAACUAAUGGACCUUUGAGCUGAACCAUCAUGGUUGUACUUAUGUUUUCAUAUCUGUGCACAUUCGUACGUUCAUCAGCAAAAGACAUUUUUUAAAUCUCAUUUUGUGACAUCGCACAGAUUCCUGUGAGAAAAAUAUUCACCAUUGUUUCUCCCAUAUUUAUCGUGCAUCAGAAACCUAAAGAAGAUGACAUCCAGCAAACCAUGGUCUGCGCAUGGAGCAAGACUUCUUUGGUGUGCAUGAAAAGGCUACUUCAAGGCCAAGGAGCUGCAGAGCUUUCCAGUGAUGCACAGCGCAGUUCCUCCUGGAGAUGGGCAAGGUAACCUUGCCUUCCAGAACCAGAACUUUCUCUCUUUGGGACACCAGCAUCUUGUUUGACCACCCAGGAGAUGCAAAGACUGUAAGCUCACAAUGUGAGAGAAUGAGAGCCGGGAGAGCCGAGCGUGGCGUUCCCACCCGUGACCACGGCGGAGCGCAGCCUGACGCGGGGAUGGGAGACCCAAAGGGACGCCGCGGUGCUGCAAAAACAAGGUAAACCCUUUCUGCUUUAUGUCAUUCUAUUCCUGAGGGAGAUGUGCUAAAGCCCCUGCCCCUUCUGCAAGGACAGAUAAAUUGUUUCGGAGCGAUUUUUACCAUCUCUAUUCCCUCUGCUGUGUAUCGGAGGACUGUUUUUCACCAGGAUCUCUAUUUCAUAGAUUCACAUUAGUGAAUUCAUAGAAUCACAGAAUGGCUUGGGUUGGGAGGGAUCUCAAAGAUCAUCUAGUUCCAACCACUAAUUCUUACUUAAAGCUACUGAGACGAUGCAGUUAUGAAUCAGGCCAUGCAGUUGUUGCUAUUUCAGAAGAAACCUAAGAGCAGACCAGCUUUAAUGAGAAAUAAAUUGUAAUCCAUCCCCA